GAUGAACGCUGGCGGCGUGCCUAAUACAUGCAAGUCGAGCGAACGGACGAGAAGCUUGCUUCUCUGAUGUUAGCGGCGGACGAGUGAGUAACACGUGGAUAACCUACCUAUAAGACUGGGAUAAUUUCGGGAAACCGGAGCUAAUACCGGAUAAUAUUUUGAACCGCAUGGUUCAAAAGUGAAAGACGGUCUUGCUGUCACUUAUAGAUGGAUCCGCGCUGCAUUAGCUAGUUGGUAAGGUAACGGCUUACCAAGGCAACGAUGCAUAGCCGACCUGAGAGGGUGAUCGGCCACACUGGAACUGAGACACGGUCCAGACUCCUACGGGAGGCAGCAGUAGGGAAUCUUCCGCAAUGGGCGAAAGCCUGACGGAGCAACGCCGCGUGAGUGAUGAAGGUCUUCGGAUCGUAAAACUCUGUUAUUAGGGAAGAACAUAUGUGUAAGUAACUGUGCACAUCUUGACGGUACCUAAUCAGAAAGCCACGGCUAACUACGUG
rnacentral:rRNA from 1 species